UACAGGGGGGGCAAGCGUUGUUCGGAAUUACUGGGCGUAAAGGGCUCGUAGGUGGCCAACUAAGUCAGACGUGAAAUCCCUCAGCUUAACUGGGGAACUGCGUCUGAUACUGGAUGGCUUGAGUUUGGGAGAGGGAUGCGGAAUUCCAGGUGUAGCGGUGAAAUGCGUAGAUAUCUGGAGGAACACCGGUGGCGAAGGCGGCAUCCUGGACCGGCAUUGACGCUGAGGCGCGAAAGCUAGGGGAGCAAACGGG
rnacentral:rRNA from 1 species